UACAGAGGGUGCGAGCGUUGUUCGGAAUCACUGGGCGUAAAGGGCGCGUAGGCGGCGCAACAAGUCAGUGGUGAAAGCUCGACGCUCAACGUCGAGUCGGCCACUGAGACUGUUGGGCUUGAGCACUGUAGAGGCUAAUGGAAUUCCGGGUGUAGCGGUGGAAUGCGUAGAGAUCCGGAAGAACACCGGUGGCGAAGGCGGUUAGCUGGGCAGUUGCUGACACUGAGGCGCGACAGCGUGGGGAGCAAACAGG
rnacentral:rRNA from 1 species